rnacentral:rRNA from 1 species
CCUACGGGAGGCAGCAGUGGGGAAUAUUGCACAAUGGGGGAAACGCUGAUGCAGCGACGCCGCGUGAGGGAAGAAGGAUUUCUGUAUGUAAAACUCUAUCAGCAGGGAAGAUAAGGACGCUACCUGACUAAGAAGCCCCGGCUAACUACGUGCCAGCAGCCGCGGUAAUACGUAGGGGGCAAGCGUUAUCCGGAUUUACUGGGUGUAAAGGGGGCGUAGGUGGCGGGGCAAGUCAGAUGUGAAAACGCGGGGCUCAACCCCGGGAGUGCAUUUGAAACUGUCCAGCUGGAGUGCAGGAGAGGUAAGCGGAAUUCCUAGUGUAGCGGUGAAAUGCAUAGAUAUCAGGAGGAACACCAGUGGCGAAGGCGGCUUACUGGACCGUAACUGACACUGAGGCUCGAAAGCGUGGGGAGCAAACAGGAUUAGAUACCCGGGUAGUC